rfam:Shimia marina strain CECT 7688 genome assembly, contig: 0004
UGGCACCUACGGGGGCCUUUAACAUCGCUGGACCAAAGACAAUAACCUAAGGUCUGGCUGCUAUACGGAAGACAGAAA